AUAGUUUGAUCAGAUGAUAGUUACAGAGCUGGAAAUUAAACCCUCAAUUGAAAAAGAAGUUAACUACAGUUCUUCCCCAAAACCAAAGUGGACAAGUAGGUGGAUUCGAAGAAUAUAUGGAGAACACAAGUGAUUUUCGUGAAUUAGUUAACCAAAGUGGACAAGUAGGUGGAUUCGAAGGAUGCGUGUAAGAACUCUAGAGAUGUAUCUGAAGGCUUCAGCCACGUCGCAAGACCACAUCGUUUAAAGCUUUUGUCAGCUCUGAUCCUUUUGCUGGUGCAUU
rnacentral:lncRNA from 1 species